rnacentral:rRNA from 1 species
AUGGCCCCUGUCUCCAUCGUUGGCAUCAAGCGCCCCGCACCGAGCGACCACGGCGAGUAGCCUAGCGUCUGGUGCAAGGGGUUGUCGUCGCACCAGGCACACCAGAGCACUUUCAAGAGAAAGCAAGUAGUCAACCCUGAAGACCACGGUGGCGAUGAAGCUAACAAGUGGAAGCAGCACCGGCCUCUUGCCAUCGACAUCAACGUGGUGCCCCACAAUGAAGAUGACGACGACCUCGACAACCCUUUUCAUGUCGGGUCCCCUACUGCAGGUGGUAGGUGCUCCCAGCCACCGCACUGGCUGCUCUCACUCAUGAACAAGAAGCAAGCACAGGAGAACAAGAUACUGGAGCUUGUAGAGCAGCGCUUACACUGGGCCACAAAGCAGCUGAUGGAGGAAAUGGAGCUAAAGAAGAUGCAGCUAGAGAAUGAGAAGAUGCGUCUGGAGAACAUCAGGAUCCUUGUGCAGAUCAAGCGUAAGGAGUUAGAGCUCAGCGUUGCCAAGCCCAAAAUGAUCUAG